UAUCUGCUGGUUCACUCCCUAAAUGGCCACAAUGGCUGCAGCUAGGCUGAUCGGAAAUCAAGAGCCAGGAGCUUCUUCCAGGUCUCCUACAUGGAUGCAGGGGCCUAAGGACUUGGGCCAUCUUCUAAUGCCUUCCCAGGCCACCAGCAGGGAGCUGGACUGGAAGUGGAGCAGCCAGGACUUGAACCAGUGCCCAUAUGGGAUGCCGGCACUGCAGGUGGACACUUAAUCUACUAUGCCACAGCGCCAGACCCUCCUUUUGUACUCUGACAUAGCAGUGGCAGCUGCAGGCAGGAUGUUUUCCAAGUGAUUUCUGUUUUGUCUGCAGCAAGAGAGAUGCUGGGUGCAGCCUGGAGUUGGGGAUGCCCUUGUGGGGGGAGGGGGGACCAGCCCGGCAGAUCCCCUUCCUCCCCAUAGAUCUUCCUUGCUCCUCUCCUUUGUCUGGGGGAGCCAUGCAAGGUGCCCGCAUUCCAGGCACGAGGCUGGGUGUUUGAUCCCACUCUGGCAUUUUGGUUUGCUAACCGCCAUGCACAAUGCAGCCUGGGUUCAGGACAUCAGAUCCAGUACUUGUUUUCUCUGCAGUGGGCUCCCAGGGAGCCAGAGGAGCAGUGGAAAACCUCUCCUAGAACAGCUGGAGCCACAGCGUCCGGGCCCCACUCUGCCGGAGUUGUUUCUGGCUUCUCCAAGCUUUGCUGGGAUUCUCCAGUGCUUCUUCCAGCCUCUCUCCACUGUGGUCCCCCUGCAGGCCUGCCUCCCACCCUGGCUUAUAAAUUCCCAGGUGGCAACAAUGUUGCCUUGUUUUCCUAGUGCCCUAACACCUGUCAGCCCACAGGUGGUGUGUGAGGGUGAGGCUGACGUGCCUGCACUUGGUGCUGUGAUGAGGUGUUCACCUAACCUGCUGGGCUGAGCUCCGUGAGACCCUAAAACAGCUCAGCGAUUGUCCCAGGAUCCUCAGUGGUGCCUCUGUGGGAUGCUAUUAGCCAAGCAACGUCACGGUCUCGGCCCCAAGUUUUCUGUCUUCCACUUCAUGCUCUCUCUCUCUGCCUCCUCUCCCGAUCACAGCCCAGGACCCUAGCAUCGCCUCUGUAAAGGCAGAGCAAGCCCAGGAGGCAGUGGCCUCCCUCCACCCCACCCCACCCAGCUGGUCCAGCUCUUGCCUGGGAUCUUCAUACCUUUCCUGAGCAGGGAGCCCAGCACACCUGUAGGUGUCUUCUCUGUGGCUUCCUGGCUGUCCUUUUACCCAGGGCAAGGGGCUCCCAGAGCAGAGUGGGAGAGGAAUUCCAGCUUUGUCGGCACUGGGUGGGCUGGGGGCUGGGCUCCCCCUCAGUGCCCAGCUGUCUCCCUGAGUGCAUUUGCCCUGGACCUGAGGCAGUGAGCGUGACCCCUGAGUACCCUCAGGUAUUAUCCUAGCUGAGCCCAACAGUCCACAGGCUUCCUCCAUGGCAGGUGUUUUUUUUUUUUUAAGAUUUAUUUAUUUGAAAAGCAGAGUUACAGAGAGAGAAUGGGAGAGACCAAGAGACAGAGAUCUUCUAUCUGCUGGUUCACUCCCCAAAUGGCCACAACGACUGGGGCUGGGCCAGGCUGAAGCCAGGAGCCUGAAACUCCAUCUGGGUCUCCCAUGGCGGGGUGGCAGGGACCCAAGGUUUUGGGCCAUCCUCCACAGUUUUCCUAGGUGCAUUAGCACGGGGCUGGAUUGGAAGUGGAGCAACUGAGACUCGAACCAGCGCCCACAUGGGCUGUGGUGUUGUAGGCAGCAGCUUAAUCCGCUGUGCCACAGCACUGGUCCCAGGGGCAGCACCAGCCCCACCCCUCAGGGGAGCACUUGGUCCUGGUCCCAAAGUAAUAUAGUUUCAAGAGGGAGUUUGUUCAUGACAACACGGGGCGGAGAUGACAGAGCUGUUGUACACUCAACACUAAGACAUCAGAUGUGCCUGGAGCAGGAAGAAUGUACUUUCCAACCCACGUGAGAAACUCUGCCUGCAGGGGGCAGGAGGGGCCACAUCCCCUGUACUCACUCUGCCAGGGUCCUCCUCACCCCUUCACUGCCAGGAUUGCUCUCAGCAGCUCAGACUGGGUGUGGCCUCACCUGUGAGACUGCCUGUGCCCCCCGUCACUCGCAGCCAUGGAGUUAGAAUCUAAGGAGCUCUAGGCCUGCUCCUAGGAGAGCCUGCCUAGGACGCGGCCCUGUAACUUAUUCUACUUGUUCCCGUGUUUUCAAAUGUCAAGAGGAGGAGUUUACACUGUUCUCCAAUGCCCCAGUUCAGACGGCCAGGAGCAGAUGCACCAGCACGGCUUCAGCGCCCCUGGACCUCACCUGCAUUGACUCCUUCCUGUCCCAGGAGCCACUCUCCCCACCCACCCUGCUUCCAUGCCUCCCCCUGCUGGGCAGAGAGACACAGAGCUACAGACAAAGGGGAAGAGAGAGAGAGAGAGAGCGAGCGAGCUCCCAUCGCUGAUUCAUUUCUCAAAUGCAUGCCGGGCAGGACCCAGGAACUCGAUCCAGGUCUCCCACGUGGGUGGCAGGGACCCAACUAUCUGAGCCGUCACUACCGCCUUCAGGACCUGCACUGGUGGCAAGCUGGAAUCAGGAAUGAGAAAAUAAUUUGUUCUGAAGUCAUCCUAAUUUUUGGUAUUAAAAUGACCUUGUUUUAGUCCCAUCAUGGUGAUAGGCACUCAUGGUUGCCUUUUAAAAGCUCUUACUUUACUCGACAAAGGAAAAGUGGUCACCUUACCUUGGUGCCCAAAUGUGUUCUGGAAUGUUCCUUGUUCUGGAAUGUCCCCCACUGCCAAGGCUGUGGACUGCAGCUCUGAAGGUGUCUGUCGGAGGCCCCCUCUGGCUCCUCUGGCUCGCUCUUCCCAGCUCUUCCAGGACUGUGAAGUUGUUUCUGCAAAGUGGUCACCAUUCCUGCAGAGCCGGCCAUCCCUCUGAGACUGUCUGCCUCGCAGGUGCCCCGCUGAGCUCAGCUCGGCCCCCACGUUCCUGGACAUCCCUAGGAGAGGCUCUGCCAUUCUGAGGACAUCUGGGCCUACCUGGUUAGGUCUCAGGGACCACCAGGACAGGAUUUCAACUCGCACUUCAGAGAUGCCCCCUCGAGGGAGGGACCCCACUUGGGUGCUGCAGGCAGGGGACGAUCCCUUCCGGGCUCUGAUCUCACUGCCUUCUUCCUUAGCUUGUGGGUGGGACUCUCUGGGGAGCUCACCCCUCCCCCAAGAGUCCUCAGCAGUGGGUUGGGGGUGCAGCAAGCACUCACCACACCCCCGAGGCACAGGCUGGAUGUUACCUCCAGGCUGUGGGCCCCCAUGUCUAAUGAGGACAAAGCUACUCCAGGGCCAUAACCUAACACAGCCCCCACCUGGGCUUCCAUCCUGCAGGAAGAAGUGGAGGCUGAGAAGGAAUUGGACUUCGGCCUCCUGGUUACCCCAGACGAGAAUGAUAGUCCCAGAGGGGCUCCCUGCCUGUCCUGUGUGAUUACAGGAUCAAAGUUGUGCAGAGAGGAGAGGUGGGGAGGGGCUGUGUGCGGGUAGCUUUUGUGGCAGAGCUGGCCAGUGGUUCAGAAAGAGAAACAGCUGCACCUGUCUCGGGUGAUGGGAAAACACGGGAGACGUUGACCCAGAACAGGGGCCUGGACUAAGCAAGCCCUACCUUGGGCAGGUGGGUGGCUGUCUGCAAGAUUCUGUCACUUUCUUGCUUUGUUGAAAGGCUGGGCCUCUCCAGGGCGUUUGUCCUCUUGCAAACUCAGUAGCACUCAGCCCCCGAUGUCUGGUCAGGACAAGCUACACCACGGCCCACCCAUCAGAGCCCAAAUGUGGAUCCUGGAGGUCCCCUGGCCUCCCCUGCCUGUUCCCCUACCUGCCCCUUGCCCCUCUGCAGUGGGUGGUGGUGCCGGCUGGCCCGAGUCAUCCUGUCUGACCUCAGCUCUCACAGAAGUGGUCACCGAGCCGGCAGUGACACACACACACUGUGUGCAGUGGGCUCCGGCGCACCCCGUUCCUACAACACUGUGGGGGAACGUGCAGGAUUUUCAGAUGAACAUGAGGACUGCAACCUGUCGGUAAGUCAGGGCCUUCCAACGUGACACAAUACUAGCACAACGGAAACACAAUCAAAACACAAUCAACCCUUUGAAAGGCUUGCAGGUUCCCAGGGUCAGCAUAACUCAACCGUGGCCAUGGCCUUGACCACAGAGACAAGGCUAAGCACAGCCUCGGUGCAGGUGUCUCAAAAUAAUCAUGUGAACUCGGCCUCCUCAUUUCAACAAUGAAGACCCAGAGGUUCAUCUGCUGAGUAAUUCAUAUUCAGAGUACACACUGAAGCAAGGCUCAGCAUUCGGCCAGCACUAACCGGCAUGGUCCUGGCAGCACAGAGCCCUGCUGGUCGGUGGAGAUGGAUCAUGGGAGAAACUGGUGACAGCACACUCACUCUGCCCCCCGACUGUAGGAGUGCUCCCCAAUGAAUGCUCUUUCCUUCUCCCUCCCGAGACAUCCUUUCCAUGUUUAUGACCCUGCCCCAUAUCCUCACCUUGUCCCUCCAAUACAAGUUCAAAGUCAUUGUCCUUGAAAUGCCUGAGUAUGCACAUGGUUCCCGUGCUACGCCUCUUGUUCUUUCCAGUCUCACUAAGCACUCGUAAGAAUACUGUGGAUGACAAUUCAACUGGUGUUGGAAAGUGGUUGAGAAGAGAGGGUAUCAGACAGGGAACAAGUUACAAAGGAGCUGAACAUGAAGUGUUGAAUCAACCUGAGGUUGUUGGCAUCUGGAAGCAGCUACCAUGUGUGGGACUGGAGGGGUGAAGGCAGAAGGUCAGUUUCGAAAGGCCGGAGUCCAGUUGACUUCCUGAUGGGAGCCGGGCCUAGGGCAGGGGCUGCCGGGAGACUCCAGCCUUUGGGAAGGAAGCAGAGGGAACUCUGCCCGUCUCUGUGCGUGCAGGCUGGGAGGUCAAAGGUUGACGCCCAGUCUACAUGGUGCUUUCACAGAACCAAAUCACUAAUGCAACAGGAAGCAAGCUUUAGCUUCCAGGUCAUCUUCUGGGACACAGGGCCGUUUGCUAGCAUAGGCUGUCCUGGCUUGAGGGGGCAUGGUCCACCUGGCCCUUGAGACCAUGGAGCCUGGGACUAUUUCCCACUGUCAAGGCCAACCUUGGGGGGAAGGGUAGGAUCUGAGCACCUCUUGGUCAGGAGCAGCAGCCUCAGGGACUGGGACUUGGGCUUCUUUGGGUGCAAGGCUGAUUCCUCUUCCCUGCAUGAACAAACUCCAAAUGAGAAAACAGGUGGUCAGCCGUCCACUGCCAAGUAGAACCACUUGAUGACGCCUGAUCAUUUCCCAAAGGAAUACUGACCGAAGUCUCUCCCUGGCACCCUAGCAGGAGGCAGGCACAUCGGCUAACACGCAAGCCACCGUGGCUUAUGAGCAAGCUCCUCUGACCCCAGUCCAACAAGGAAGCCAGUGUUUGAGGACUGUCCCCUGGUGCUUCCUCAGCCAGAGAUGAUGGACAUCUCAGGGGCAGAUCAGGGAGCCAGGCCUGGGGGAGGGAUGGUCCUAAGGUUUCAGUCACACCAAACUCUUUGUCAUGUGUCCCCUGUCCACGCCUCUCUUGCCAGCAUUCUGACCUGCUGAGCCCUGGAGUGGCCACAGUCUUAAGCAAGGCAGAGACCUGGACGGACCAGGAACCCUCCUUCUGUUACUCAGAGCCAAGUCUCCGAUCUAAAACAUAGAUGCUGAUUCUCAGCUUCCUUGUUUACUCCAUAUCAGGAUGCCUCAGUGUUAGGAAGCGAUGCGUGCUGGGAGAGGUGAACAUUGAUUCCUCAUGGAGAAAGUGGACACGCACUGUCCUUGUUGAAUUGACUCUGAGCUAGUUUACCUGUCAUCUGCCAGGUUUGAUUUGGGGACCUGGAGGUGGACUCCAGGCAUGCAGCUGGCCAGAGAGCAGGGCCAAAGGCGUGGGGGUGGUGGCCAGGGUGCUGUCCAUCCCUGCCUGCUGGCUCUCCUGUCAGGCUGCGCUUGGUCUGUCCACUGGAAUGCUUGGCUUCCUCUUGGCCACUCAGCUUGCCUGGGUUCUCCUGAUGCCCACAGUAGCUGUCUUGUUUUCUCCUCCCUGCUUUCUUGGCCUCCUCGACCAUGAUAGGUCACAGGUCAGCUCUGGAAGACAGACUGUGUAGGCUCCAGGGUUUCAGGCUGCCUCCCCAUUGUCCCCUUGUUGCCUGAAGCCAAAACUCUCCUGCAACUGGGCAAUCAUGAUACCUCCACCUUACCAAAAAUUCUCCCCAAAUCUCGAUGUAUCUUCAUGUUUUCCUGAACCACAUUGCUGUUGUUGGAAUUGCAUGAAAUUCCUAAUUGGCCAAAUUCAGGACAAGUGUUUGGCACAGUAUCUUAAGUCACCACUUGGGAUGCCCACAUCCUACAUCGGAGUGCCUGGUUCGAGUCCUGGUUCCUCCACUUCCAAUCCAGUUUCCUGCUAACGUGCUUUCUGGCGGGGGAGGCGGGGGAGGAGGAGCGGCAGGUGAUGGCUCAAGAACUUGAGGCCCUGUCAUCCAUGGGAGAGACCUGGAUUGAGUUCCAGGCUCCUGACUUUGACCUGGUCCAGCCCUGGCUGCUGCAGGCAUUUGAGGAGUAAUCCAGCAGGUGGAAGAUCUCUCUCUCUCUCUGUGUCUUCCUGCCUUUCAAGAAAAGAAAAAAUGCCCAAAUUGGAGCGUCCUAACCAGGGUGAGUAAUUUGUGGGUACCAGUUAAGUGCAAAUUCUGGGAGAGCAGAGGAAGAGUCCAGGGCCAGGCCUUCAUCCCAGCCACUUCCUAUGUGCAGGUGCCUCUGCUUAACCAACGGAUCCAGAGAGGAGGCAGGUCUUUCGUGCAGCAACAAUGAGAGAGGGGAAGGAGGCUGGAAAAAGAAAUGGAUUCAUCAGCAAGGAGACCUUCAGCUUUGCCCAUUUCCCCAAGGAGGCGAAGGAUGAAAGUGUUUAGCUCCAAGAAAAACCGUCUGAUUAAGCUGGGGUUUAAAAUGAAGUGAGAAUUUCACAGGAUCUCUCACAUCAAGUGCCUUUAAACCCUCCUCAGGCCACAGACUGAGACCCAUGGUGGAUCUGAAGAAACCCCUGCACCUCCAUCUGCUCCUGACGUCUGCACAGCUCUCAUCACAGCGGGAGGGGAGCGCCCAGCUGAGGAAGACUCUGAAAACCUAAGGAACCUGGAUCUCCCCUCCCCCCACCCCAUCCCCACUUCCUGGACAAGAUGCGUCAUCAAGCAAAUGGAACUCUCCACAAUCUGCCCAAGUGUUAACGCGCUGCACUUGUGGCAAUAAAACACUUGAACCUGGCCCAGGUCUGUUUUCCUUGAACUUCGAACUCUUCCGGAUUCCUUCUCUCACUGAGUGAGACACUGGGACAGGGACCAUCCCGUGUGAGGAGGCGGGGCCUGACGUUAGGACACGCCCCUUCUUCCCUCCCCUGGUGCAGCUGAUGCUUUGUAAGGAGACUGAAGUGGCAGACGCUGAGUCGUGACUGCAGUGUCAGUAACAGUGUCUUUAUUAGAGAGUCACAGCGUUUCCCCAGGACAGUGAGGCAGCAUCCUGGCAGGUUCCUCCUCCUUUGUCCCUUCCUCUCUCUUCUGCAAGGUUUGGGGUGAAGCACCCCACCUCUAACUCUUGAGAUUGAGCCAGGCCGAGGAGAGGCCAUGAGUUUUCAUUUUAGAUGCUGGUGCUCAGCCAGGGGUUGCAGGCCUGUGGGGCGUGGUGGACAGAAACAGCUAAGUGGAUUAAGCUGCUCUCCUGGAGAGGCAGGAGAAAGCUGAGCCGUCCCUCUGUGUCCCCUAGACACUGGGGGGAGGGGGGCAGAUGGACGCUCAUGUGAUGGGCCUGCCCUUCAGACUGUCUCAGAAAUGUCACCCCUAGCCUGCCGUGGCCACCAUGCUCCCAGCUUCUCCUUUCCUGGGAACUUUCUCACAGGGAGCACAACUGGCAUUUUUUAAAAAAGAUUUAUUUAUUCAUUUGAAAGGCAGAUAUGGGGGAGGGGUUCCAUCUACUGGUUCACUCCCCAGUUGGCCACAAUGGCCAGAGCUGCUUCGAUCUGAAUCCAGGAGCCAAGAGCUGCUUCUGGGUCUCCUACAUGGGUGCAGGGGCCCAAGGACCUGGGUCA